UGGGGAAUAUUGCACAAUGGAGGGAACUCUGAUGCAGCGACGCCGCGUGAACGAAGAAGGCUUUCGAUUCGUAAAGUUCUUUUAUAUGGGAAGAUAAUGACGGUACCAUAAGAAAAAGCCCCGGCUAACUACGUGCCAGCAGCCGCGGUAAUACGUAGGAGGCUAGCGUUGUCCGGAAUCACUGGGCGUAAAGGGUUCGCAGGCGGAAAUGCAAGUCAGGUGUAAAAGGCAGUAGCUUAACUACUGUAAGCAUUUGAAACUGCAUAUCUUGAGAAGAGUAGAGGUAAGUGGAAUUUUUAGUGUAGCGGUGAAAUGCGUAGAUAUUAAAAAGAAUACCGGUGGCGAAGGCGACUUACUGGGCUCAUUCUGACGCUGAGGAACGAAAGCGUAGGUAGCAAACAGG
rnacentral:rRNA from 1 species